CAAAAAAAAUUGAGAGCAAGAGCCAAGAGAAAGGGCCAUACGGCCAAAGAAAAGAAAAAAAAAAUUGGAGCUCAAAUCUUUAGUUCAAAAAUUCAUCUCUUGUGGAAUUACUACUAAGCUCAAAGCCCUCUUCAAUGUAAUACAACUUUGGAAGCAAGAAAGUACUUUUUUUACCAAGUGGAGAAUUUGGAAAAGAUUUUGGAGGAAACGGGAUUUGAGUUUGGACAAGCGUAAGAAGCAAAUAAGGUGUAUACAGAUGAGUAGAGGAUAUUGCUAGAAGAUGUUCCAGCUGAAUUGGUGAGCUCCAUUUCCUUCCGGAGUGUUGCCGAGUCAGAGUACUUACGUUAUGGUAUUUCGCCUAUAUUAGAGACUUUGCAGACAGUGUCCUGUGGUACGUUUGUCGAGAUGUCGACAAAGUGAUGUCAGCUGAACCAUUUGUGUAUUUUAAAAGAGUAUGUAUUUCAGAUGAUUUAGAUUGGUCUAAAGUACUUAUUGAUUGAAAUUUUUCAUAAUCGUUAUAGAGAUAAUGAUUUCUAUUUGAAAAAAUUUUAUGUUCUUAAAAGUUUUUGAAAUGACAGGUUUUAAUAGAGUGAAUGUCUAAGGGUUCGCUCGAUUCUGAUGAGAGUCGGGUGCCCAUCAUGCCCUAUCAAGAUUAGGGUGUGACAAUAUUCUUCUGCUCUGAAUAUUUCGUCGUUUGUAAAUUGUAUUUUCCAAAGGAGAUUAUUUCUAAAACUUAGAAUGUCCGUAUUAGUUUCUAG